rnacentral:SRP_RNA from 1 species
GCCGGGCGUGGUGGCGUGCGCCUGUAAUCCCAGCUACUCAGGAGGCUGAGGCAAGAGAAUCGCUUGAACCUGGGAGGCAGAGGUUGCAGUGAGCCAAGAUCACGCCACUGCACUACAGCCUGGGUGACAGGGCGAGACUCUGUCUCAA